UAAUACAGAGGUCUCGAGCGUUAGGCGGAAUCACUGGGCUUAAAGCGUGUGUAGGCGGAUCGUUAAGUGCCUUGUGAAAUCCCACGGCUCAACCGUGGAACUGCUUGGCAUACUGGCGGUCUUGAGCAACCUAGGGGCGAGCGGAACAAAUGGUGGAGCGGUGAAAUGCGUAGAUAUCAUUUGGAACGCCAAUGGUGAAAACAGCUCGCUGGGGGUUUGCUGACGCUGAGACACGAAAGCCAGGGGAGCAAACGGGA
rnacentral:rRNA from 1 species